CACGGGGGGGAGCAAGCGUUGUUCGGAAUCACUGGGCGUAAAGGGCGUGUAGGCGGUUCGGUAAGUGGAAUGUGAAAUGCUCCGGCUCACCCGGAGUACUGCAUCCCAAACUGCCGAGCUUGAGUAUGGGAGAGGAUGAGGGAAUUCCUGGUGUAGCGGUGAAAUGCGUAGAUAUCAGGAGGAACACCGGUGGCGAAGGCGGGUCUCUGGGCAGUAACUGACGCUGAGGAGCGAAAGCGUGGGGAGCGAACAGG
rnacentral:rRNA from 1 species